rnacentral:rRNA from 1 species
UACGAAGGGUGCAAACGUUGCUCGGAAUUAUUGGGCGUAAAGCGCACGUAGGCGGCAUCGCAAGUCGGAUGUGAAAUCUUAUGGCUUAACCAUAAAAGUGCAUCCGAAACUGCAGUGCUUGAGUACUUAAGAGGAUCGCGGAAUUCCCGGUGUAGAGGUGAAAUUCGUAGAUAUCGGGAGGAACACCAGUGGCGAAGGCGGCUCACUGGCCCGGUACUGACGCUGAGGUGCGAAAGCGUGGGGAGCAAACAGG